GAUGAACGCUGGCGGCGUGCCUAAUACAUGCAAGUAGAACGCUGAAGGAGGAGCUUGCUCUUCUGGAUGAGUUGCGAACGGGUGAGUAACGCGUAGGUAACCUGCCUGGUAGCGGGGGAUAACUAUUGGAAACGAUAGCUAAUACCGCAUGACAACAGUUAUUGCAUGAUAACUGUUUAAAAGGGGCAACUGCUCCACUACCAGAUGGACCUGCGUUGUAUUAGCUAGUUGGUGAGGUAACGGCUCACCAAGGCGACGAUACAUAGCCGACCUGAGAGGGGGGUCAGCCGCACUGGGACUGAGACACGGCCCAGACUGCUACGGGAGGCAGCAGUAGGGAAUCUUCGGCAAUGGACGGAAGUCUGACCGAGCAACGCCGCGUGAGUGAAGAAGGUUUUCGGAUCGUAAAGCUCUGUUGUAAGAGAAGAACGAGUGUGAGAGUGGAAAGUUCACACUGUGACGGUAUCUUACCAGAAAGGGACGGCUAACUACGUG
rnacentral:rRNA from 1 species